UACAGAGGGGGCAAGCGUUAUUCGGAAUUAUUGGGCGUAAAGGGCGCGUAGGCGGUGUGUCGCGUCGGAUGUGAAAGCCCGGGGCUUAACCCCGAGUCUGCAUUCGAUACGGGCUAGCUAGAGUGUGGUAGGGGAGAUCGGAAUUCCUGGUGUAGCGGUGAAAUGCGCAGAUAUCAGGAGGAACACCGGUGGCGAAGGCGGAUCUCUGGGCCAUUACUGACGCUGAGGAGCGAAAGCGUGGGGAGCGAACAGG
rnacentral:rRNA from 1 species